CUCCCACAGCACCAGGAACUUGUACCAGGAAGUUUUGGGGAGGCUGGCACAAGUGGGCAUUCAUGGUAUUCUGGCCCACUGCCGGGAACAGAUAAAGUACUUGAGGAUCUGGUACCAGAGGGCAAAAAAUGCCAGAAGUCACUCUGGGAGUGGUCCUGCAACAUAUCCAUUCUUCAAGGAAAUGGACCAGGUACUCUCCAGGGCUCCCAGUACUGAGCCUGAGGUCACACAUGAACACCUCAUCAACCCUGCCAGCCUCAUUGUCUGAUGGGGUGCUGAUGAAAGCCAGGGCGUGCAACAGGCUGGAUCAGGGAGGAGCAGACCCAGAAGACCUGAAGGAGGGGGCUCCAGAGGAUGAGGAGCAUGUUAUCCUGCACCACUACCUGAGAAGCUAGUUCAUCAAGCCCCUCCUAAGGAGCCAGAUGUGGACCCCAAGACUCAACAGGAAUAGCAACCUGAGGCUGACAGAUGGAAUUCUGAACUACAGCUUAUUUAAGGACUCCAUCCUGCAAUAUGCUGAGUGCCGUUGGCACCCAUUUUAGUCCAGGGGAAUAGAGGGAGUUUAGCAUCUCUCAGUAUCAUCAGUAAACAAAAUGACCUCUGAAAUGACCUGGUAUCAUCACUGCAGCUCCAACUUCUGGCAGCAUCUUAAAGACUGAAAGCAUCUUUGGAGAUUGUCUUGCCCCAUCUUCAAAGGUGUAUCAUGAGUACUAAUUCUACCACAUAUGGAGCUCAAUUCUGGCUCAAGGGAGUCCUCUUCCUAUAUCUUUAGCUCUAGGGAGGAAUACAGUAUCCUGUGCAUAGAUGAGAAUAUGUUCUUACGUCAUUAAAGAGAGGAUUUAGAGGCAUCAGGCAUAAAUCUCUGGCUAUCAAGAUGAGAAUUCACCUCAGAGGUUCCAUUAGCAUCUCAAGUGCAAGGGUCCACUUAUUGUGGGCUCAUAUGACUGCCAGCUUCUAUAUGGUGUUUCACUCUAGUCCACAAUCUGUUGGUGAUGUCUCUGAACUCUGCUCAAACAUGUAUAGGCUGCAUAGAGGGGAGCAGAAGAACACUGGCUCUGUCACAGAGAUAAAUGGGAGCUGCCAGCCUCUUCCUCCCCGCAAACCCUAUUUCGGAAUAGAUGUUGCACAGAGAGGAGCUGAAACUGUGCUGGACUGUCUGCUAAAAUGCAGGAGGUGCCUAUAUGCAUGAUGAUGUUAUGAGCAACUCAGCAACAGGAUGAAAAGAACCUUCAGAGCAGCAACCCAUUUCCAUGUCCAGGACCUGUGCCCUAGGUCACUCGUUAAUGAGCUGAGCACCAAGAAAGGAUGGAAUCUAUUACAACGGGAUAUGGGCAGGAAGUUUUUCUUUAUGGUUUCAUAGAUUUACGAAAGCGAGAGAGAAAGAGAAGUGAUGAUUAUCAACCGUCCAUUCAGAUACUGUUCCUUGGAGAUUGAUGACUGCAGCUUGGACUUGAUCAGAUAGGAGUUGGGUUCCAGUUGAAGGAGUGACUGGACCCUCUCUGGCCCCUGGCCUGUAUAAUCUCUGACCUUCCUAACCUCUGCAGGGCUUCCUUUAUGAGAGUUCCCGGCCAGAUGGUCAAGUCAUCAAAGCUUUAUGAGCACAAACUCCUUUUACCACUUCACAGUUUCUUCCAUCCAAAAAGCAGAAAGGGUGGAAGUGUGAGGAAAAGAGGCUAGAAGGUGUUAAAGAUAAAAGCAAGACACAGAGGUACCUUCCUGCUGGAUUCCUUGCAUGUUAGUAUGAUGUGUGUGAGUAUGAUGCUUGCUGUCCAUGUAUAUUAUAUGCAAUUUUGAAUU